CUCAUCUCCGUACAUACGUCUCAUCAGACCCUGGUUCUCCUGAACAAAUCUGCGCACCGCAUGCCUGCAAUUGGAAAAUCAUCAGACAAUUCAGUAGAUGCUCAGAGAGGGAAACGUGCUCACGCGUAUUCAAUAAGAUGGAUAGGCGCUACCAGCAACGGUGCACCAGUUUUGCUGACGGAAGUCACAUGGUAAACUUUGAAAACGUGCCCUGGCUGCCCUGGAGUAAGGUUUGCUACAAGCAGAUGACGCAUCGUAUCCAAAACUGCUGGGACCACCGCCUCCUUGUGAUCUUACUAGUCGGAGUGCGAUCGCCUACAACAAGUGACACUAUACUUUAAGAUCAUUCCAUUCGAGAUGAACUCACUGUUGGAUAAACUGUGAGGAUAGUACGAAUUUAUGCGUUCGUAGACUCCAGGAUACCGUUACCGUUUCGCUUGAACUUGAUGCUCUCACUGAACGAGUUGAACUCACCGCAAAUAAUCAUGAACAAUUUCGACACGCUGUGUAUCCUGUACCAUGCUAUAGUACAAUCAUUUGAGUAUAGUUCAUAGUUCCAGAUCACCCUCAUCUAAAUCAGAGAAUUUUUAUUAUAUUCUCUCUCUAUCUGUCUACUCACCAGGAAAAUCGUUAGGACUAGAGGUUUCAUUAUUCCUGAUUAUCUUGCACCAGGUAGAUAAAGGAUC